UGAAGUUAUUCCAUAAAUGACUUAAGAUCUUUCUGGAAUACCAACCCAGGUGAGUUAUGUGUCCAAGUACAUGGGUUUGGAUGAAAUGAUAGGAACGUCUAUUUAUUUGUUUUAUGUUUGUUUUGAAGGACUUAUCGCCGUUUAAACAGUAUUGCAGUUAUAUUGCUGCGAUCAGAGCGAUCAAAGACCCUUGCAGAUCAUUGGUUUUCUAGGUGCGUUUUUUGGCUCGCUGCUGAUUGGCCCAUCACCGCUUCUCGGGUUUAGAGAAGGGUCAAGCGGUCUGUGGUUGGUAAUAUUUGCUUUGGUGAUGAUGGGUGUUUCGAUCAGUCUAACACCUGGUCCCUACAAUGGACAUGCUUGCCACAGUGGCCCAAGAUUCUGGUUUUGAAGACCUGACCAG